rnacentral:rRNA from 1 species
GGGCUCACACAAGCGGUGGAGGAUGUGGCUUAAUUCGAGGCUACGCGAAGAACCUUAUCCUAGAUUUGACAUGCUUGAGAAUCCCUAUGAAAAUAGAGAGUGCCCUUCGGGAGCUCUUGCACAGGUGCUGCAUGGCUGUCGUCAGCUCGUGUCGUGAGAUGUCGGGUUAAGUCCCUUAACGAGCGAAAUCCCUUAUCCUCUAGUUGCCAGGCGGGUAAUGCCGGGGACUCUAGAGAGACUGCCGGUGUCAAACGGAGGAAGGUGGGGAUGACGUCAAGUCCUCAUGGCCUUUAUGUCUAGGGCUGCACACGUCCUACAAUGGUACGGACAAAGCGGACGCAAUACCGCGAGGGGGAGCCAA